AUCAAGCAGAUCACAUAUGUUCACCGCUGUUCACGUGUAAGCUACCUGCCGUCUUCGGUAAUCAUUUCCAGAGUCAUCUGAUCCAAGCCUCUGUCACCACCUUCUCCCUGAUGCGCUGCCAGACCCACUUUUCCAGUCCUUGAAAUAUUCAAAGGGGAUCACAGUACUACACUGUGAGGGAGUCCUGGAAGAGCACCAGGAAGCCUCAGAUAUUCAGAGUGGCCACAAGCAUCCACUUAGGACAGGACAUUAGAGAAGCAGGCUUCUUCACCUAUGCCUGAGCUGGCUACUUCCCAGGUGAAGAUGUAGAACUCAGCUCCUCCUGCACCAUGCCUGCCUGGAUACUGUGAUGCUGCCAUGCUCCUCCCUUAAUGAUAAUGGACUGAACCUCUGAUCCUACCUGGAAACCUGUCUCAGCUUCCUGCCACCAUGCCUUCCCCACCAUUCAAAUAGAGACCUGAAAUUGACCCACCCAAAGUUGAGUUCAACAGGUGUUUGAUCACAGCAAUGAGUUGCAGGACCAGCGAGGUGGAAGAAGCUGAGGUGUAAAGUAAGCUGUUAGUGGGAUCAGCAGUCCCAACUCUCCCGGACCCCUGAGAUCUCCCAGACACUGGGGCACCAACCAG
rnacentral:sRNA from 1 species